rnacentral:rRNA from 1 species
UACGGAGGGGGCUAGCGUUGUUCGGAAUUACUGGGCGUAAAGCGCACGUAGGCGGCUUGGUAAGUUAGAGGUGAAAGCCUGGAGCUCAACUCCAGAACUGCCUUUAAGACUGCCGAGCUAGCAGGUGAGAGAGGUGAGUGGAAUUCCGAGUGUAGAGGUGAAAUUCGUAGAUAUUCGGAAGAACACCAGUGGCGAAGGCGGCUCACUGGCUCAUACUGGACGCUGAGGUGCGAAAGCGUGGGGAGCAAACAGG